CAGUCGCCGCGGGAAUACGUAGGUGGCAAGCGUUGCCCGGAAUUAUUGGGCGUAAAGGGCUCGCAGGCGGUUUCUUAAGUCUGAUGUGAAAGCCCCCGGCUCAACCGGGGAGGGUCAUUGGAAACUGGGAAACUUGAGUGCAGAAGAGGAGAGUGGAAUUCCACGUGUAGCGGUGAAAUGCGUAGAGAUGUGGAGGAACACCAGUGGCGAAGGCGACUCUCUGGUCUGUAACUGACGCUGAGGAGCGAAAGCGUGGGGAGCGAACAGGAUUAGAUACCCCGGUAGUCCCUGUCUCUUAUAC
rnacentral:rRNA from 1 species